rnacentral:rRNA from 1 species
UACGGAGGGGACUAGCGUUGUUCGGAAUUACUGGGCGUAAAGCGCCCGUAGGCGGAUUUGUAAGUCAGGGGUGAAAUCCCGGGGCUCAACCUCGGAACUGCCUUUGAUACUGCAAAUCUCGAGUCCGGAAGAGGUGAGUGGAAUUCCUAGUGUAGAGGUGAAAUUCGUAGAUAUUAGGAAGAACACCAGUGGCGAAGGCGGCUCACUGGUCCGGUACUGACGCUGAGGUGCGAAAGCGUGGGGAGCAAACAGG